GCCGCCGGUUGUCGCUGCUCGCACGUCUUCUCUUUUUCAGCUGAUAUAAGCCCAAAAUUGUAGCUUAUGUUUGGACUAAACUACAAAUUGGUUAAGGUGCUCCCAUCGACAAUACACUAUUGGAGAACGAGUGCAGAGGUCUGAUAUUUCUCGUUCAAGUGUCGACUCAACGCCGAGAGAAGUCGCCUUUUUUGGUUGAGAAAAACCUCGAAACUGCCCUUUGGCUCAUCUUAAUGUAACUAUUAUUGGGACAGAGAAGAUAAGAACAUUGUUUUUGUGAAAUCAGAUGUCGACAGCAACAUACCCACCACCCCCUCCGUUUUAUAGGCUGUACAAGGACUAUCUUCAAGACCCCAAGUCUGCUCCGGAACCUCCCCCUCCAAUUGAGGGCACCUAUGUCCUCUUUGGUAGCAACUACACUGUAAAGUCUCUGACCCGUUCUUCUACUCCCUUUUGA
rnacentral:misc_RNA from 1 species